rnacentral:lncRNA from 1 species
CAGCCGGACCCCCUCACCCACGAGGUCACUGCAGCCGGACCCCCCUCCGCCCACGCGGUCACCUCAGCCGGACCCCCUCACCCACGCGGUCGCCUCUCCCCGCAUGCAGAUCUUCACUCCUGUCUCAGUGAAGUUUCGCAGUGUUUCCCUCAAUAGGUCUGUGUCUCUUUUAUUCGAUUUUUACAGUUUAAAUGCUUUUUUCUGUGGGGCUCAGGGGCUCAGGUCAGCACUUUGGGAGGCUGAGGAGGGUGGAUCACGAGGUCGGGAGUUAGAGACCAGCUUGGUCAACCUGGUGAAGCCCCAUCUCUAGUAAAAACACAAACGUGAGCCUGGCGUGGCGGCGGCAGCUGCAGUCCCAGCUCCUCCGGGAGGCUGAGGCAGGAGAAUCGCUGGACACCCGCUGCGGAGGCUGCGGUGAGCCGAGAUCACAUCGCCGCCCUCCAGCCUGAGCAACAGGGCGAGGCUCGUCUCAAAAACAUAAACACUUUCUUCAGGAAGAUGGAAAUGCGAUUGAUCCCACGUCAGUUCCUCUCGGGGCCUCACCGCGCAAUCGACAGGGCCACCCUCCACAUCCGCACCGUGGCCUCCGGUCUGGGCAACGGCAAUUCGGCUUCAAUGUCGGCUUUGCUGGAGACCACAGGACCCUGCCCUCCACCAGACGCAGUGUGCAGAGGCGUGUGCCCGAAACCGAAAUGCGGCAUCACACGGCUCUUUCAUCUGGAGCCAAACUCUCGGGAAACAAACCAGACAGACGCAGGGCGGUCACGACACCCGCGUGCGGCGUCCAAAGGCUAA